UACGUAGGGGGCAAGCGUUGUCCGGAUUUAUUGGGCGUAAAGAGCGUGUAGGCGGCCAGGUAGGUCCGUUGUGAAAACUCGAGGCUUAACCUCGAGACGUCGAUGGAAACCAUCUGGCUAGAGUCCGGAAGAGGAGAGUGGAAUUCCUGGUGUAGCGGUGAAAUGCGCAGAUAUCAGGAAGAACACCCGUGGCGAAGGCGGCUCUCUGGGCCUUACCUGACGCUGAGGAGCGAAAGCGUGGGGAGCGAACAGG
rnacentral:rRNA from 1 species